ensembl:lncRNA
AAAGAAAGUAGCAAAGUUAUUUGAUAAUAUUGUAUGUCCAUAUAAAAAUGUUAAAACAUUAUUCUUUUGUUAUGAUUAACUCUUUUCCUGCCCUCCAGUGACAGUAUGUCUGCAAAGGGGUCAACCGUGUUGAGCCUAUCAGAAGAUGCUCUAAAGAACCAUCUACUGUCACAGAAGAAGCUGCUCUCUCUUGAAGCGCAAUGCAUCUCGAACAUAUUGGAAAACUGCAUCAGUCGAGUUGAGAUUGUAGCCUCUCUUCCUGCUGUCCUCCGGUUAAACAGAGUGUCUGGUGUUGUGGACAAGCAGUUGAGUCGGGCACUUCAAGAGCAUCAACUAUUAGCCUGAAAGACUGGAGACGCUUAGAAGGUCUCAAGCAGGAUUCAGACGGGGAACAAGAGGGAGAAGUUGUGAAAGCAAAGGCUCAGCUUGAGCAGGACAUCAAGAACUCUGUCAGGGGUCUGUUCAGGCUUGCCCGAGCCCAUCCUGAUGCCAGGUGUGGUUUGAGGGCAGAUCUAGGUAAAGAAGUAGCCAUAGGAGAUAGUGAGUACAAGCUAAUUACAGGGCUUGAGAAGUUUCUCAGCCAUGCGGUAGAAAAGUUGCUGACCAGUCUGGAUGAGGAGCUACACGUAAAGCUGGUUCUUCAAAAUCAGGUGUCUUCGUCCCCUGCCAACCUCGCGGAGCUCAUAGUUUCACAGCAAGAAGUAGCUACAUCCUUAAAACAAAUAGAUGCACAGAUAUCUGAGAAAAAUGAUGAGAUCAAACAUUUUCAAGAUUCUCUAAAAGGAGACAACAGUCAAAAAGCAGAUACGUCGCUUCUUGCGGAACAAGCAGUGCCAGUCACAUAUGAAGACAUCAAAGCACAGCAGUAAACAACAGGAGCUUGAUCGACUGAACAGUCAGCUCAACAAAUUGUUCCUCGAAAGCAGACAGGCAGAGAGAGUAAUCCAAGUGGUACGUUUUAGUGUCGAACAUUUCACAGUAAAUGUACAAACAUAUUUCAUUUUCAUUUAAACCAAACUGUUAUUGCUCUUUUUUUCCUUGGCAGGAAAAUGAGAAGGUGGAGACAGCAAUUGAAAACUUGCUCCAAACUUUUGACGACGACAUAGAAAAAAACCAGGCCGACCUGGAGUUGGAAGGAAUGGGUUAUGAAAGGGAGGAGGAGGAACUGAAGACGCUGGAGAAACCCUUUUCUGUCCUCGAGGUGAAGUAUAACAUGAUCCUGGAGAAGCGUCGGCUGGCAGAAGAGAAGAGAAGGGAGGAGAUGAGGGAGCUGCAGUUGAAGACCAAAGCUGCUAUUUUUGCCCAAGCCUGGUGGAGAGGCUACAGUACUCGCAAGGCCUUAAAGAACAAGGGGAAAAGCAAGAAGGCCAAAAAAGGCAAAGGCAAGAAGACCAAAUAAGCGACUGACUAGUUUAGUUACUCUGGUGCAGACACACUCUACCUGAAUGAACGUCUUUGGAUGAAAAUUAAAAAAGAGCUGGUUGAGCAAAUACUAUUAUACUCCAUAAUCAGAGUGUGUUUGUCAUUUAUGUGUUAAUAAAGUGUUUUAUGCUUUAAACUAGUAUUUACUUCUUUUUUUUUUAAAUAUAAAAGGACUGCAUGCAGACAAUGUCAAAC